UACAGAGGGUGCAAGCGUUGUUCGGAAUUAUUGGGCGUAAAGCGCGCGCAGGCGGUCCUUUAAGUCUGAUGUGAAAGCCCACGGCUCAACCGUGGAGGGUCAUUGGAAACUGGAGGACUUGAGUACAGAAGAGGAAAGCGGAAUUCCACGUGUAGCGGUGAAAUGCGUAGAGAUGUGGAGGAACACCAGUGGCGAAGGCGGCUUUCUGGUCUGUAACUGACGCUGAGGCGCGAAAGCGUGGGGAGCAAACAGG
rnacentral:rRNA from 1 species